AUGGGCACGCGUGACAUUAGGUAGUUGGUGGGGUAACGGCCUACCAAGCCUACGAUGUCUAGGGGUUCUGAGAGGAAGGUCCCCCACACUGGAACUGAGACACGGUCCAGACUCCUACGGGAGGCAGCAGUGAGGAAUAUUGGUCAAUGGGUGCAAGCCUGAACCAGCCAAGUCGCGUGAGGGACGACGGAUCUAUGGUCUGUAAACCUCUUUUAUAAGGGAAGAAUAAGGAUUACGUGUAAUCCGAUGCCAGUACCUUAGGAAUAAGCACCGGCUAACUCCGUGCCAGCAGCCGCGGUAAUACGGAGGGUGCAAGCGUUAUCCGGAUUUAUUGGGUUUAAAGGGUGCGUAGGCGGCAAUUCAAGUCAGUGGUGAAAUCCGGCAGCUCAACUGUCGCGAGCCAUUGAAACUGGAUAGCUUGAGUACAGUCGAGGUAAGCGGAAUAAGUGAAGUAGCGGUGAAAUGCAUAGAUAUCACUUAGAACUCCGAUAGCGAAGGCAGCUUACCAGCCUGUAACUGACGCUGAUGCACGAGAGCGUGGGUAGCGAACAGGAUUAGAUACCCUGGUAGUCCACGCCGUAAACGAUGCUCACUGGUUCUAAGCGACAGACAGUUUGGGACCGAGCGAAAGUAAAAGUGAGCCACCUGGGGAGUAC
rnacentral:rRNA from 1 species